CAGCACGAAGAACCAGUUCUGUCACGAACCCUUAGAAAGACCAGCUCCAGCCAGACUGUACUUCUUGGAGAUCUAAGUCAUAGCUCUGUGAAAUUCCUUUUGCAAGCUCCUGAUAUCCCAAUAUCUGCUGGCUGGUACCCACAGGACCACUUUAUGCUUCGAGAUAAAGACACCUAGACUUGUCAUCUGAACCCAGUACAGCCCGACAUCAGUGUUCUGUGGUCCUUCUACUCAUGAGUCACCUAACUCAAGUCCUGUCACACAUUCAGUGCACAGGUAUGAUUGUAAGGAGCUUGGAAAGUAGCCGUUUGGAGCCUGGAGCUGCAACUGACGCUGCCCACCACAUUACUGACCCAAAUGUGGAUCAACCAAGAAUUAUUGGGUGAAGCCUAUCCAUUGGCUGUGCCUCCAGCUAUGUGGUCACAGCAAGAGAACUGGCCCCUUGAAAGCAAUCAUGCCUGCCCAUCGAGGAAUAGCUGACUCAAUGGCCCCAUUCAUGGGCCUUCCCACACCUUCCAGCUCUCCUUCUCUCCAGAGAUAUAUGGCAGGAUAUCCAUAUAUGCAGCUGUCGGUGGAAAACCAUGGAAUGGGUGCGGUGGGUGGAAAAUACCUUUCUUUUUGCAAAUUUAUGGAAAGCAAAUAUUGCAGUUUUCCUCCUUCAUGAUGCUAAAUAUAGCAGGUAACAGAUCCUCCUUUAAAAACUUAAAACCGACAUUGAUUUUUUUCAUAAAGAAGGAAUAGCAAAAACACAGGAGACAGGCAAAUCUGCUACAAUCAUUGAGUAUUGAUACAAAAGCCAAUUCUUUCUAGUUAGACCCAAAAACCACCCAUGCUAAGGGUGGCUGGCAUGCAGUCUUAACUCAGAACUUAGUAUUAACAAUGGCAUGUACAUGUUCAGCACAUUCCUUCCACGGCUGUAAGUCCUACCCCAAAGUAUAUUCCUUUCCCCUUCUUCCUGCAUGGCCAACACAUUUAUUUGUGUUCUCAUGGCCUCUAAUCUCAGUCCCUUCAGACAUGAUAGUGCUACUUGAUAUUAAAGUAUAGAUAAAGAUACCGUUUUAUAAAGAUUAGUAACUGUAGUUCAUGUCACAGUUUCUUAAGCUCGGUGUUAUUGACAUUUUAGACCAAGUAAUUAUUUGUUGUGGGGGAUGUCCUGU